rnacentral:rRNA from 1 species
AUCGAACGCUGGCGGCAGGCCUAACACAUGCAAGUCGAACGAGUCGCGGACGGGUGAGUAAUGUCUGGGAAACUGCCUGAUGGAGGGGGAUAACUACUGGAAACGGUAGCUAAUACCGCAUACCAUCGGAUGUGCCCAGAUGGGAUUAGCUAGUGGGUGGGGUAGCGGCUCACCUAGGCGACGAUCCCUAGCUGGUCUGGGAGGAUGAUCAGCCAGACUGGACCUAAGGCGCGGGCCAGACUCCUACGGGAGGCAGCAGUGGGGAAUAUUGCACAAUUUGCGCAAGCCUGAUGCAGCCAUGCCGCGUGUAUGAAGAAGGCCUUCGGGUUGUAAAGUACUUUCAGCGGGGAGGCGGUACCUGCAGAAGAAGCGCCGGCUAACUACGUGCCAGCAGCCGCGGUAAUAC